UAUCUUUGCGACCCGGACACGGCGCUGC
rnacentral:sRNA from 1 species